AGUGAACGCUGGCGGUAGGCCUAACACAUGCAAGUCGAACGGCAGCACAGUAAGAGCUUGCUCUUACGGGUGGCGAGUGGCGGACGGGUGAGGAAUACAUCGGAAUCUACUUUUUCGUGGGGGAUAGCGUAGGGAAACUUACGCUAAUACCGCAUACGACCUACGGGUGAAAGCAGGGGAUCUUCGGACCUUGCGCGAUUGAAUGAGCCGAUGUCGGAUUAGCUAGUUGGCGGGGUAAAGGCCCACCAAGGCGACGAUCCGUAGCUGGUCUGAGAGGAUGGUCAGCCACACUGGAACUGAGACACGGUCCAGACUCCUACGGGAGGCAGCAGUGGGGAAUAUUGGACAAUGGGCGCAAGCCUGAUCCAGCCAUACCGCGUGGGUGAAGAAGGCCUUCGGGUUGUAAAGCCCUUUUGUUGGGAAAGAAAAGCAGCAGGUUAAUACCCCGCUGUUCUGACGGUACCCAAAGAAUAAGCACCGGCUAACUUCGUG
rnacentral:rRNA from 1 species